rnacentral:rRNA from 1 species
CCUACGGGUGGCAGCAGUGGGGAAUAUUGGACAAUGGGGGAAACCCUGAUCCAGCGACGCCGCGUGAGUGAAGAAGUAUUUCGGUACGUAAAGCUCUAUCAGCAGGAAAGAAAAUGACGGUACCUGACUCAGAAGCCCCGGCUAACUACGUGCCAGCAGCCGCGGUAAUACGUAGGGGGCAAGCGUUAUCCGGAUUUACUGGGUGUAAAGGGAGCGUAGACGGCAGCGCAAGUCUGGAGUGAAAUGCCGGGGCGCAACCCCGGAACUGCUCUGGAAACUGUGAAGCUGGAGUGCAGGAGAGGUAAGCGGAAUUCCUGGUGUAGCGGUGAAAUGCGUAGAUAUCAGGUGGAACACCGGCGGCGAAGGCGGCUUACUGGACGGUAACUGACGUUGAGGCGCGAAGGCGUGGGGAGCAAACAGGAUUAGAUACCCUUGUAGUC